UGUGUGCCUACACAGGCUGUGUCCUUACACUGGCUACAUAGAAAGGCCGAGCAGACUGUCCCUGCAUGCACCCCAGCCCAGGCUGUGUGCCUCGCUCCUGGUCUGCAUGGUGAACUGAGGGGACAUGA
rnacentral:snoRNA from 1 species